CAGUCGAACGCACUCUCGUUUAGAUUGAAGGAGCUUGCUCCUGAUUGAUAAACAUUUGAGUGAGUGGCGGACGGGUGAGUAACACGUGGGUAACCUGCCCUAAAGUGGGGGAUAACAUUUGGAAACAGAUGCUAAUACCGCAUAAAACCUAACACCGCAUGGUGUAGGGUUGAAAGAUGGUUUCGGCUAUCACUUUAGGAUGGACCCGCGGUGCAUUAGUUAGUUGGUGAGGUAAAGGCUCACCAAGACCGUGAUGCAUAGCCGACCUGAGAGGGUAAUCGGCCACACUGGGACUGAGACACGGCCCAGACUCCUACGGGAGGCAGCAGUAGGGAAUCUUCCACAAUGGACGAAAGUCUGAUGGAGCAACGCCGCGUGAGUGAAGAAGGUUUUCGGAUCGUAAAACUCUGUUGUUGGAGAAGAAUGUAUCUGAUAGUAACUGAUCAGGUAGUGACGGUAUCCAACCAGAAAGCCACGGCUAACUACGUGCCAGCAGCCGCGGUAAUACGUAGGUGGCAAGCGUUGUCCGGAUUUAUUGGGCGUAAAGCGAGCGCAGGCGGUUUCUUAAGUCUGAUGUGAAAGCCUUCGGCUCAACCGAAGAAGUGCAUCGGAAACUGGGAAACUUGAGUGCAGAAGAGGACAGUGGAACUCCAUGUGUAGCGGUGAAAUGCGUAGAUAUAUGGAAGAACACCAGUGGCGAAGGCGGCUGUCUGGUCUGUAACUGACGCUGAGGCUCGAAAGCAUGGGUAGCAAACAGGAUUAGAUACCCUGGUAGUCCAUGCCGUAAACGAUGAGUGCUAGGUGUUGGAGGGUUUCCGCCCUUCAGUGCCGCAGCUAACGCAUUAAGCACUCCGCCUGGGGAGUACGACCGCAAGGUUGAAACUCAAAGGAAUUGACGGGGGCCCGCACAAGCGGUGGAGCAUGUGGUUUAAUUCGAAGCAACGCGAAGAACCUUACCAGGUCUUGACAUCCUUUGACCACUCUAGAGAUAGAGCUUUCCCUUCGGGGACAAAGUGACAGGUGGUGCAUGGUUGUCGUCAGCUCGUGUCGUGAGAUGUUGGGUUAAGUCCCGCAACGAGCGCAACCCUUAUUACUAGUUGCCAGCAUUAAGUU
rnacentral:rRNA from 1 species